rnacentral:lncRNA from 1 species
AAAAUUAGAUCAACCCAAUUAAAAUAAGUCUUAACUCAAUUAAGAACCUAAUUUAAUCAGAUUAAAUUAAAUUUAAAUCUGAUUUAAUUUUCUAAUCAAAUUAGAAAUUAGAUUGACCCAAGUCCUAGUUGAACUAGGAUUAGUUUUUCCUUGCACUUGGCUUAUCCAAUAAACCAAUUGGACUUGAUCCAAUCAAGUCCAAACUAAAUCUAAUUAAAUUAUAUUUAAUUAGACUUAAUCUCAGUCUAUUGGCUUAAUCAAAUUAAGCC